AUUGAACGCUGGCGGCAUGCUUUACACAUGCAAGUCGGACGAGUGGCGAACGGGUGAGUAACAUAUCGGAACGUACCGAGUAAUGGGGGAUAACUAAUCGAAAGAUUAGCUAAUACCGCAUAUUAUUCGAGCGGCCGAUAUCUGAUUAGCUAGUUGGUGGGGUAAAGGCCUACUAAGGCGACGAUCAGUAGCGGGUCUGAGAGGAUGAUCCGCGACACUGGUACUGAGACACGGCCCAGACUCCUACGGGAGGCAGCAGUGGGGAAUUUUGGACAAUGGGCGCAAGCCUGAUCCAGCCAUGCCGCGUGUAUGAAGAAGGCCUUCGGGUUGUAAAGGACUUUCAGCGGGGAGGCGUUACCCGCAGAAGAAGCACCGGCUAACUCCGUGCCAGCAGCCGCGGUAAUAC
rnacentral:rRNA from 1 species